rnacentral:rRNA from 1 species
AGUGAACGCUGGCGGUAGGCCUAACACAUGCAAGUCGAACGGCAGCACAGUAAGAGCUUGCUCUUACGGGUGGCGGGUGGCGGACGGGUGAGGAAUACAACGGACUCUACUUUUUCGUGGGGGAUAACGUAGGGAAACUUACGCUAAUACCGCAUCCGACCUACGGGUGAAAGCAGGGGAUCUUCGGACUUUGCGCGCUUGAAUGAGGCGAUGUCGGAUUAGCUAGUUGGCGGGGUAAAGGCCCACCAAGGCGACGCUCCGUAGCUGGUCUGAGAGGGUGAUCAGCCACACUGGAACUGGGACCCGGUCCAGACUCCUACGGGAGGCAGCGGUGGGGAAUAUUGGACAAUGGGCGCAAGCCUGAUCCAGCCAUACCGCGUGGGUGAAGAAGGCCUUCGGUUUGUAAAGCCCUUUUGUUGGGAAAGAAAAGCAGCAGGUUAAUACCCCGCUGUUCUGACGGUACCCAAAGAAUAAGCACCGGCUAACUUCGUG